AUUAACUUAAAUUUUGGAACUGGUGGAGUAUAAGUUUAACAAAACGGUGGAAGUUAUCAGUUAACCGAGUUCACUCUUCAACUUCACUCCAUCGGUUCGAAUCGCUUCCCCAAAUUUCACCGAAGAUUCUCUCACAUCUAAGUUCGUUUGAAAUCAUACACAAUCUCUUGAAUCCAAGAUUUCAAUCGUUUUCUUUGCAUUCAAUUUGAGGUUAUGCUCCAAAUCUGAAAGAGCUAGAUGGAACAUAACAAACACAUCAACACAAAAAAAAGCUACAAAAGAUGGCACAACCCAAAACAAAAGACAUAAACCUGUCAAUAACAAAGAAAAGUCUAAAAGAUUCAUCAACAAGGGGGCAUGUCCGGCGGCGGAGGCAAUAAUGUUUCAUUGAUCGCUUUGCCAUUCUUCACAAUAAACACUGUCUCCAUGCCCCAAGAGAGGUGGCGUUCUAGAUGACAGUGCAGGAACCAUACUCCUGAAAUUGAGUGCACAGUUCACACAACAAUGAGUUUUGAACUAUAAAUGAGAAGGAAAAUAGUUGAAUAUAUUGCAACGUCAAUAAAUUCAUGUUGACUUAGGAUCAUGUUACCCUAAAAUAAAAAGAUGUUUACUAUGUAUAACAGUAUAAGUUCAGUAAGACACAUACCAGGGUUGGUGGCGACGAACCUAAUAGCCGCCCAUCCAUUUUUAGGCACUGUCACUGUAUUCACAAGCGGAGGAUCAACCAGAUUGUAAUUCAUGGGGUCCUUACUUUUGUUGAAAUUACCAAAUCCAUAUCCAACAACAUGGAAACUAUAUCCAUGUAGAUGCAUUGGAUGGUCUAACCCUGCAAUCAAAUUUGUGUCUUGGAAAACAAGUUCAACAUUUGAGCCAUAUUUUAGAACUUUAACUUUAGUUCCUCGCUUUGGUGUUAGCAAGGUCAAAGGCAAAGAAUCUGCAGUGAAGUUAAAUAUAUAAGGUGGAAAAUUUGGAAAUCCCUUUUUGAAUACCCCAUUUAUAUGAUAGUAAUAAGCUUCUAGUAUGUCAAAGUUAGGGGCUUGAAAACUUAUGUUGUUCAUGCUAGCAGCUAAAAUGGUUCCAUUUGGGCCUUCACAGGAUUGGUUAUUGGGACAUGGAAAGGUGUUGAUAGAAACUGUUGUUAGCAUAUGAGUGUUGAUUUUUUUUGGGACACCAUGAGAGUAGUUAUCAGGUUUGCCUCUAAUGCUUGUGAUGAAGUCAAAAGCUGCUGUUGUGUCAUUAUAGUCUGGAAGAUUAGGUAAUGAAGGAGUUGAAAGUGGAGUAGAACUCCCUUUGUAUUGUACUAUAGCAGUGGUUGUGGUGUUAUCAAAUUCUACUCCAACUCCAGUUGAAUAUGCUCUUGCAGCCAUAUAGUAGUGAUUAGGUUCUUGGUUGGCAUGAAACAAUACAUCCAUUGUGUUUCCUGGUGAUAUGCAAAUGUAAUCUCUUGUCAUUGGUUUUGUGUACAUAGCAUCAACACUGACAACAGUGAGUUUGUGUUUAGAAAUUGACAUAAAGAGAAUGAGAUUCAUUGCUGCAUUAACCACGCGUAGAAGAUAUGUCCUUCCCGGGUCUACUUUUAGCUUGAAUGAUUCUGAAAAAAUAAAAGAGAUCAAACAUUUAGAGCCAAACAUCAAAUAUACAUAAAUGUUUGAAAUAUGAGAUAUAUUUCUUCUUUUAUUUUUAGUUGAGAUAUAAAUUUCUUAAAUUAAUGGUUA